rnacentral:rRNA from 1 species
UACGGGGGGGGCAAGCGUUGUUCGGAAUUACUGGGCGUAAAGGGCUCGUAGGCGGCCAACUAAGUCGGACGUGAAAUCCCUCGGCUUAACCGGGGAACUGCGUCCGAUACUGGAUGGCUUGAGUAUGGGAGAGGGAUGCGGAAUUCCAGGUGUAGCGGUGAAAUGCGUAGAUAUCUGGAGGAACACCGGUGGCGAAGGCGGCUCUCUGGGACGGUACUGACGCUGAGACGCGAAAGCGUGGGGAGCGAACAGG